ensembl:lncRNA
GUUUAAACUAGGUGAAGUGAAAUGACUGAAUCUUACUCAAAUUGUAAUUGCAUGUUUUCUUUGUGGAAGUACUAUUACACUUAAAAGUCCAAGCAAAGAAAGCAAGCCUUUAUUCCUGUAACAAACAUUCCAUGAUUCUAUCCUGACUAGAAGCUGUGGUCAUUGUACUGAUGUUUAGAUGUAACAGUCUCUCUGAUAGGUACUUUAGUAGAAAGCUCUGCAACAGUCUCACACCCACUCAGGCCCUUGGUUCAGUGCUAACAAAAUAAAAUGUUGGCUUUCAUAAUUAUUUCUUUAUUGCUGCUGUAAAACCAUUAUGCUGACCUCUCUUUCAUUUCUUCAUUGUCUCUUUCUCUCGCUCAGGUGGCUGCUUGCACUGUGCAUUAGGACCUGUCGUAUUGAUUUUCUCUGAGGCUAUGUGGAUGAUCCCAGACACACUUCCUCUUAAGCUGAUCCAACAUCGGUGGAGUAAACAAGUCAUCUGUGCUGUCAGAACUGCUCAGUGCCUAUGUGAUCUUUAUUCUGGAGCAGUGGGUCUUGAGUGGAACAAAUGCUUAGCCUGGGGGAGAUAUGGCAAAGGCAAGGUACCAACCGUUCCGCUACUCAUCAACCAUUCUGCUCCAUGCUCCAUGAUGAUGCCCUGAAAAGCUUAGUGGGGGGCUGUACACUAAGGAUCCCGAAUGUGCAGAAGCAGCAAAAACUUUACUUCGGGGG